rnacentral:rRNA from 1 species
UACGUAGGGGGCAAGCGUUGUCCGGAAUCAUUGGGCGUAAAGCGCGUGUAGGCGGUCCGGUAAGUCGGCUGUGAAAGUCCAGGGCUCAACCCUGGGAUGCCGGUCGAUACUGCCGGACUAGAGUUCGGAAGAGGCGAGUGGAAUUCCCGGUGUAGCGGUGAAAUGCGCAGAUAUCGGGAAGAACACCCGUGGCUAAGGCGGCUCUCUAGUACGGUACUGACGCUGAGACGCGAAAGCGUGGGGAGCGAACAGG